UCCAGCAGUAGUCAGCCGUCUGGCAGCCCCGUUGCCGUGAUGGUGUUACACUGCUGGGAGAGCACUGCCGUGCCUUCUUUCUCUGGUGGCCCGUGUCGCUGUUCUGGUGCGCGUGGCUCUGGUGCAGGGCGCACUGCUUCCUGGAGAGUGUGCUAAGCAUUCACGUUGGCUGCUUGGCUCUAGUCUGGGAGCAGACAGU
ensembl:snoRNA SNORA74 Small nucleolar RNA SNORA74